GAUGAACGCUGACAGAAUGCUUAACACAUGCAAGUCCACUUGAACUUCGGUUUGGGUGGCGGACGGGUGAGUCACGCGUAAAGAACUUGCCUCACAGAUAGGGACAACAUUUGGAAACGAAUGCUAAUACCUGAUAUUAUGAUUUUAGGGCAUCCUAGGAUUAUGAAAGCUAUAUGCGCUGUGAGAGAGCUUUGCGUCCCAUUAGCUAGUUGGAGAGGUAACGGCUCACCAAGGCGAUGAUGGGUAGCCGGCCUGAGAGGGUGAUCGGCCACAAGGGGACUGAGACACGGCCCUUACUCCUACGGGAGGCAGCAGUGGGGAAUAUUGGACAAGGGACCAAGAGUCUGAUCCAGCAAUUCUGUGUGCACGAUGAAGUUUUUCGGAAUGUAAAGUGCUUUCAGUUGGGAAGAAAAAAAUGACGGUACCAACAGAAGAAGUGACGGCUAAAUACGUG
rnacentral:rRNA from 1 species